rnacentral:lncRNA from 1 species
UCUUUCCAUGAAUUCCACUUACCUUGAAAUAAGGGAAGGAUAGAGGGCCUUCACAAAUGUGCCUUCUAAUGGUUAGAAUCUGGAUACAUAGUGCAGGGAAUGUGGAGAGACGGUGUUGCAGAGCUAUGGUAUAGAAACUUCAGCCUUAGUCAGGAUCCCAAAUGAGGCUUUCCUGCAGGCAGCUUUCCAGUAAAGGACCCACUACAGCAAUAAAGUGGAUUCCACUCUUUCCUCUCGAUGCCCCAGACCUACCCUUACUUGUGCCAACAGCACAAGGAGGUAACACAGCAUGCUCAUCUCCAAAGCAGGUUGAGAGAGGAAACUUGCAGGUGAUUACAAGGCAAAACUGAAUGUACACAGACACACUGUAAAGGCCUCUUCAUUUCUAAAUACAUUAUGGCUUUCAGUGGAUAGGCAUCCCACUAAUAAAUUCUGUCUUUAUAGCAGAACUAUAGGAAAAAUAGUAUUUUUUUGUGAUAGGCCAUUCUGGCUUCUAGUGAACAAUUCUGAUGAAUGUGGUUGAAUCGAAUCUACCUCUCUGAAGAGAAUUUAUCUUGGCUCAUGACAGGAGAAAUCAUACAGUGUUUUUUCAUAAUAAGUAUGACUAAGUAAACCAAGAAAAUAGAUCACUAAUUAGAGACUAUUGAAUCCUACUAUGAAAUUACAUCUGCUCUUGUUCUCCCAUAUCUAACCAUAUCUAACAUGUAAAUAGGGAUGCAUUAUUACCAAUUUCUCUUGGUCAUGAGUAUAUUCCUCCUUAACAGCCAGUAUUAUUACUUUCUGAUUCAUAAAGAAAUAGCAAUUCCAAUUAUUCUGGCUAUGAAAUUAAAAUUAUAUUCAUCCACACCUUGCCUUUUUUCCCCUUACUUUAGGAUUUCCCAUUUGUUUCUUUCCUCUCUUUUCUCUCUAGUAAAUCUAGAUUUCAUGUAUGAAUACUGAUAAAACUUGAUUAAGAAUUCAGAAGAUUUUUUUGCCCCCAAGUUACCUGAAGACAUUCAGUUGAUCCAGAUUCAUGAUGGCAGAUGGACUUAAGUUCAGCCAAGACCAGUAAAUAACUCUAUUUAAAGACUGAAAGAAAUUGUGGGUCAUGUAGUUUUGCAUUCCUUGUGCUUUAACUCUUUUAAAACUUACUACAGGAAAGACACCGUUUUUGUGGAAAUGAAAACAAAAAUAAGUGCUUCCCUGUACACAUUUUCAUGGAAGGUGCUCUUAAUUGUUCAUUCAUAUGCAUUUAGAAGCUUCUUUUCUCUUGUGCAUUUACACCAUUGUUGUACCUCUCUUUCAUGAUUUCACUACUGUUUGCUAAAGAAUCAAUAGAAUACUAUGGCUUACCAUUGAGUAUCCAAAUAAAAUCCAAAUAUUGUCACUAUAUCUUUUCAUUUAGACCUUUUCAUCAGAUACCUUCUAAGUUCAACUCAUAAUCAGAGAUUCAGUUGGAGAUAUUAAGUCAUUGUUCAGCUUAUCUAACCUUCUGCAUUGAUUUAUUAUUUGAUAAUCAGAGUAAUUCUUAUGUUGCUUAAUAUAUUCAGUUGAGAUAGCAUACUUAAUACUUCAGCAAUGUAAAUGGUUUCAUUAUUUAAAUAAAAUCCUAGUUUAAUGGCAGUAACAUUUUCAUAUUGAACAUAUAUAUUAGGCAUUUCCUUCAUUUUUAGAUGUUGAAUGUUUCCUACAAGGACCAUAAUUGCUUUGUAUAUUAAUAUCAUUACAUAUCUUUUUCAUUAACUUUGGCUUGUCAACUGCCAUCUCAGUUUUGUAUUUUGUUAAGAUAUGUUCUGUCUGCAUUAAUAUGCUGGUGUCAGCAGACCAUGAUUUUAAUCAUUUUGCAAGUUAUUUAAAGAUUUAUGUUAUUACCAGUAACAGGAAAAAAUUUGGAGCUAAUUUUUAGAAGUAGGCUGCUAGAGACUAAUUUUUAAAAAUGUGAUUUUCCAGAUAGCCUGUAAUCCUUUUUAUUUUUUCAGAAGAAUUAUUUUUAUGACUAAAGUUUCUUUUUAAUUUUGGAGUUUUCCAUGUUAAAAGUAUACAGAGAAAUUUGGAAGCAAAAUAUGUCAUGUCAUAUUGCAUAUUCAACUGAAAUGAUGUUUUUGGCUAGUUUAACUAGUUGUUCUGAGGCCUUAUAGUUUUCAGGUUUUAUGAAGUUUCUCUGGUAUGGGGCUCUCUGUUUCUGAGUUUUAGUGCUUGAAUCAAUCAGAUCUGAGUAAAGAUUUCUCAAAAAACUGGAGAUGGGAUUGCAAGUGUAAACCAGCACUGUAACUCACCAAGAGAGAAUUGCAAUGGUUGUCUUUCACUGUCUAAAUGUCAACACACUUGAAACAAAAGACAUUUGCUUGGCAUAGUAUUGAAUACUUUUUCACUAAAUACUUAGCAGCAUCUGAGGAAAUAAACUGACAUGGUCUAUUAUCUUAGUUUACUUAGAACUCAGUAAAAACUUAAGGACUUGUAUGUAACUUCAUAAUGUGUUUAAGAAUAAAGAAUAUGUAGUGUGUACUUAUAAUAAUCUGUGUAGCUGUUGUGAUGAAGAUGACAAGGCACUUAGAGGAAGCUUUAUUACACAGUAUGUAUCUUUUUAAUUUGAUAAUGCUUUCUCUGCAGAAUUUUAAUCACGGUUGUAGACAUCAGGAUCCCAGUACUCCAAGGUAGCAAUGACCUCCAGGCAUUGAUUCUCUAAGUAACAAUUUUUUGUUCUUUACUGUAAAUGCUGUUUUUAGCUAAUUGCAUUUAGCACAGCUGUAACUAACAUUAUCAAAAUAUAGUGAUUCUGUCAUUUCUUAGGAGGCAAAUCCAUACCUCAGUCAUGGCUGAUGUGUAACUUUUUUUAUCCUGGAAGCAACCUUCCCUGUGUUUAGUGACAUCUGUGCUGUUACCCACCUGUAGUACUUCGGUAGUGAGUAAUUAGUGUCUCCUCACUUGCCAUCAGCUCAAACUGAAUUAACUGUCUACAUUUUCAUUUCUAAGUCUGAUUAUUUUCUACUUUGUGUGAAACUGCAUAGUAAAUAUUCCACCAUCUUUGGAUGGCAUUCCUGUAUCUCAUACAGUAUUAUUCAAGUCGAAGCCCUUACCCAAAGGUGACAGCAACUUCAAGUACGAGCAGAGAAAUCUGCUGGAAACACAGGAGCUUUUUCCUUGUAACUCUGCCGGAGCAGUCUUUGGAAUAUGGAUGCCUCUGGAUAACCGCGCAAAGUUCGAGCAGGUGUUGAGGCGGCGACGGGCUCGGUGCGGGCAAGGGCCCUGCCCAGCUCGGUGACGGUGCGGGCCCGUGCCCAGCUCGGUGUGGGAAGGGGCCCGUGCCCAGCUCGGUGAGGAUACGGGCCCGUGCCCAGCUCGGUGACGGUGCGGGCCCGUGCCCAGCUCGGUGUGGGAAGGGGCCCGUGCCCAGCUCGGUGAGGAUACGGGCCCGUGCCCAGCUCGGUGACGGUGCGGACCCGUGCCCAGCUCCGCGGCUCCCCGCGCUCCUCCAGCCGGGGCUGGGCAGCGGCGCCGGGCCCUGCGCGCCGUGGGCAGUAGGUGGUGCUAGAUGAGAAGUGAAGGUGCAGCUCUCGUCAGAAGCUGUAGCUCAAAGCCAGGAUUAGAGCAUUCGGCGGUUUCCGUGUUUGUUUCCUUACUUGUUGCGAUCUUUGGGGUAGGAACACUGAAAGUCGAGGUGGGUGAACUUGAGGGUGGUAGCGGGUGAGAGAUAAAACAUCAGUCGUUUCCCAAAUACCAUUUCUGUAGCGAUAGAAGAUCGCACGAAUCAGCAGGGCAAGGCCAUCUUUCUAAGUGGGAGAGAAAAGAAGAUGCAGGCAUAGCACAAAACGGUUCUGCUUCAGAGCAGAUUUGUUUGAAAGAGCACUGUCAGCUUGUAUGUCGCUGAUUGUGUGUCUGGGCAUGACUGAAAGCCUUAUGUCUUCAGAUUAAUUUAAAGAAUAUAUAAAGGCAAGACCUCCCAGCCGAGUGAGGAGUAGUUUGUAUUCUAAUUAGCCGGAUGUAGGAAGAUAACAAAAUGUCUUUCUGUCUAAAAUCUUACUGAUUAAAUUAUACAGCACAAGUGU